rnacentral:rRNA from 1 species
AUUGAACGCUGGCGGCAGGCCUAACCCAUGCAAGUCGAACGAGUAGCGGACGGGUGCGUAAUGUCUGGGAAACUGCCCGAUGGAGGGGGAUAACUACUGGAAACGGUAGCUAAUCCCGCAUACCAUCGGAUGUGCCCCGAGGGGAUUAGCUAGUAGGUGGGGUAACGGCUCACCUAGGCGACGAUCCCUAGCUGGUCUGAGAGGAUGACCAGCCACAAGGGAACGGAGACAGGGUCCAGACUCGUACGGGAGGCAGCAGUGGGGAAUAUGGCACAAGGGGCGCAAGCAUGAUGCAGCCAUGCCGCGGGUAUGAAGAAGGCCUUCGGGUUGUAAAGUACUUGCAGCGAGGAGGGGUUACUCGCAGAAGAAGCACCGGCUAACUCCGUGCCAGCAGCCGCGGUAAUAC